rnacentral:rRNA from 1 species
CCUUCGGGAACUCUGACACAGGUGCUGCAUGGAACUGUCGUCAGCUCGUGUCGUGAGAUGUUGGGUUAAGUCCCGUAACGAGCGCAACCCUUGUCCUUAGUUACCAGCACGUUAUGGUGGGCACUCUAAGGAGACUGCCGGUGACAAACCGGAGGAAGGUGGGGAUGACGUCAAGUCAUCAUGGCCCUUACGGCCUGGGCUACACACGUGCUACAAUGGUCGGUACAAAGGGUUGCCAAGCCGCGAGGUGGAGCUAAUCCCAUAAAACCGAUCGUAGUCCGGAUCGCAGUCUGCAACUUGACUGCGUGAAGUCGGAAUCGCUAGUAAUCGUGAAUCAGAAUGUCACGGUGAAUACGUUCCCGGGCCUU